ACAGCAACAUCGUCGGAUCCAUUGUAGAAGUUGAAAACUGCAAAGAUCAAAUUUAAUUUCAAUGAUCAACGUAUUUUGGGGGUUUCUUUAUUGAGUGUGCCCACCAAGUGUUUGAUAAAUUGCAUCAGUGAAAUCGACACUUACUUAAGGUGUCACCAACUAAGAAAGUCUUGUUAUAAGCCCAUGAGGCAUAGAAGAGACCGAGAGGAUCUGGUGGAGGGAUUAGCCAUCCGAGUUUGUCGCCGACGGUGUAGUUUUUCGGCUCUCUUGGAGCUGGAGCUGGAGGCGGAGUUGGGGCGGGAGUCGGUUCAGAAUGUGCAGUGACAUUGAUGGCCAACCUCUGUCCCAAGAUGCAGUGCUUGUCCAAAGUGCCAAUGAAAUAGUACUCCCCCAGUGUGUCCAACGUAAAAUUGGCUGGACCAGUGGUUUUGAGGCUGAUUGGAUUGGUUGAAUUGCAGGGGAUUUUCUAAGGAAGGUGCAUUUGUCAAAAUAUAGUGAAAGCAAGAGCUAUAUUCUGGACAAAGGAGACUUAUUCACAACAGUGAUGUAUGAUCCGCAUGGCAUUUGUAAGUCAACAGAGCACAUUACUUAAAUUUACACAUGAUUCUUAAAUAAUGUAUUAUUUGACAAUUUCUUUGCCUCAACUGAUAAGUUAAUAGAAUUUCUAGACCUUGCUUUGGCCAUCAUUUUGGCGUUUUCUUUGAUUGUGAAA